rnacentral:rRNA from 1 species
UACAGAGGUCUCAAGCGUUUGUUCGGAUUCAUUGGGCGUAAAGGGUGCGUAGGCGGCGUGGUAAGUCGGAUGUGAAAUCUCGGAGCUUAACUCCGAAACUGCAUUCGAUACUGCCGUGCUUGAGGACUGGAGAGGAGACUGGAAUUUACGGUGUAGCGGUGAAAUGCGUAGAUAUCGUAAGGAAGACCAGUGGCGAAGGCGGGUCUCUGGACAGUUCCUGACGCUGAGGCACGAAGGCCAGGGGAGCAAACGGG